ACGGGGCGCAGCAGCGCGAAACUGCGCAUGCGCGAAAGCGCGACGCGGGGAUUCAAGUGCUCUACAUGUAGUAGCUGUCAAAAUCCUAAAAAGAUUUAAAGUAAGGGCUGGGUAAGACCGGUGCCAGCCGCCGCGGUAAUACCGGCAGCCCGAGUGGUGAUCGUUUUUAUUGGGUCUAAAGCGUCCGUAGCUGCUUGAUAAAUCCCUAGGUAAAUCGAACGGCUUAACCGUUCGGAUUCUUGGGAGACUGUCAGGCUUGGGACCGGGAGAGGUCUGAGGUACUUUUAGGGUAGAGGUGAAAUUCUGUAAUCCUAAGGGGACCACCAGUGGCGAAGGCGUCAGACUUGAACGGAUCCGACGGUGAGGGACGAAGGCCAGGGGCGCGAACCGGAUUAGAUACCCGGGUAGUCCUGGCUGUAAACGCUGUGGGCUUGGUGUUGGGGGUCCCACGUGGGCACCCAGUGCCGGAGAGAAGUUGUUAAGCUCACCACCUGGGGAGUACGGUCGCAAGACUGAAACUUAAAGGAAUUGGCGGGGGAGCACCGCAACGAGAGGAGCGUGCGGUUUAAUUGGAUUCAACGCCGGAAAACUCACCGGGGGCGACCAAUGGAUGAGGCUCAGUCUGAAGGGCUUAGCCGAUAGUUGGAGAGGUGGUGCAUGGCCGUCGUCAGUUCGUACCGUAAGGCGUUCUGUUAAGUCAGAUAACGAACGAGACCCUCGCCCUUAAUUGCUAAUCUUAUCUCCGGAUGAGAUGCACAUUAGGGGGACCGCUGUUGCUAAAACAGAGGAAGGUGGGGUCAACGGUAGGUCAGUAUGCCCCGAAUCCCUCGGGCUACACGCGCGCUACAAAGGUCAGGACAAUGGGUUCCGACACCGAAAGGUGAAGGUAAUCUCGAAACCUAACCAUAGUUCGGAUUGAGGGCUGUAAUUCGCCCUCAUGAAGUUGGAUUUCGUAGUAAUCGUGUGUCAACAUCACACGGUGAAUAUGCCCCUGCUCCUUGCACACACCGCCCGUCAAACCAUCCGAGUCGGGUUUGAGCGAGGGCGCCUUUUUGGGGCGUCG
rnacentral:rRNA from 1 species